GAUGAACGCUGGCGGCGUGCCUAAUACAUGCAAGUCGAGCGAACGGACGAGAAGCUUUCUUCUCUGAUGUUAGCGGCGGACGGGUGAGUAACACGUGGAUAACCUAGCUAUAAGACUGGGAUAACUUCGGGAAACCGGAGCUAAUACCGGAUAAUAUUUUGAACCGCAUGGUUCAAAAGUUAAAGACGGUCUUGCUGUCACUUAUAGAUGGAUCCGGUCUGGAUUAGCUAGUUGGUAAGGUAACGGCUUACCAAGGCAACGAUGCAUAGCCGACCUGAGAGGAUGAUCGGCCACACUGGAACUGAGACACGGUCCAGACUCCUACGGGAGGCAGCAGUAGGGAAUCUUCCGCAAUGGGCGAAAGCCUGACGGAGCAACGCCGCGUGAGUGAUGAAGGUCUUCGGAUCGUAAAACUCUGUUAUUAGGGAAGAACAUAUGUGUAAGUAACUGUGCACAUCUUGACGGUACCUAAUCAGAAAGCCACGGCUAACUCCGUG
rnacentral:rRNA from 1 species